rnacentral:rRNA from 1 species
AGAGUUUGAUCCUGGCUCAGAUUGAACGCUGGCGGCAGGCCUAACACAUGCAAGUCGAGCGGUAGCACAAGAGAGCUUGCUCUCUGGGUGACGAGCGGCGGACGGGUGAGUAAUGUCUGGGAAACUGCCUGAUGGCGGGGGAUAACUAGUGGAAACGGUAGCUAAUACCGCAUAACGUCGCAAGACCAAAGUGGGGGACCUUCGGGCCUCACGCCAUCAGAUGUGCCCAGGUGGGAUUAGCUGGUAGGUGGGGUAACGGCUCACCUAGGCGACGAUCCCUAGCUGGUCUGAGAGGAUGACCAGCCACACUGGAACUGAGACACGGUCCAGACUCCUACGGGAGGCAGCAGUGGGGAAUAUUGCACAAUGGGCGCAAGCCUGAUGCAGCCAUGCCGCGUGUGUGAAGAAGGCCUUCGGGUUGUAAAGCACUUUCAGCGAGGAGAAAGGGUAAUGUGUUAAUAAGACAUUGCAUUGACGUUACUCGCAGAAGAAGCACCGGCUAACUCCGUGCCAGCAGCCGCGGUAAUACGGAGGGUGCAAGCGUUAAUCGGAAUUACUGGGCGUAAAGCGCACGCAGGCGGUUUGUUAAGUCAGAUGUGAAAUCCCCGCGCUCAACGUGGGAACGGCAUUUGAGACUGGCAAGCUAGAGUCUUGUAGAGGGGGGUAGAAUUCCAGGUGUAGCGGUGAAAUGCG